CCUACGGGAGGCAGCAGUAGGGAAUCUUCCACAAUGGGCGAAAGCCUGAUGGAGCAACGCCGCGUGGGUGAAGAAGGUCUUCGGAUCGUAAAACCCUGUUGUUAGAGAAGAAAGUGCGUGAGAGUAACUGUUCACGUUUCGACGGUAUCUAACCAGAAAGCCACGGCUAACUACGUGCCAGCAGCCGCGGUAAUACGUAGGUGGCAAGCGUUAUCCGGAUUUAUUGGGCGUAAAGGGAACGCAGGCGGUCUUUUAAGUCUGAUGUGAAAGCCUUCGGCUUAACCGGAGUAGUGCAUUGGAAGCUGGGAGACUGGAGUGCAGAAGAGGAGAGUGGAACUCCAUGUGUAGCGGUGAAAUGCGUAGAUAUAUGGAAGAACACCAGUGGCGAAAGCGGCUCUCUGGUCUGUAACUGACGCUGAGGUUCGAAAGCGUGGGUAGCAAACAGGAUUAGAUACCCUGGUAGUC
rnacentral:rRNA from 1 species